GUGGGGAAUCUUGCGCAAUGGGCGAAAGCCUGACGCAGCCAUGCCGCGUGAAUGAUGAAGGUCUUAGGAUUGUAAAAUUCUUUCACCGGGGACGAUAAUGACGGUACCCGGAGAAGAAGCCCCGGCUAACUUCGUGCCAGCAGCCGCGGUAAUACGAAGGGGGCUAGCGUUGCUCGGAAUUACUGGGCGUAAAGGGCGCGUAGGCGGACAGUUUAGUCAGAGGUGAAAGCCCAGGGCUCAACCUUGGAAUUGCCUUUGAUACUGGCUGUCUUGAGUACGGGAGAGGUGAGUGGAACUCCGAGUGUAGAGGUGAAAUUCGUAGAUAUUCGGAAGAACACCAGUGGCGAAGGCGACUCACUGGCCCAAUACUGACGCUGAGGCGCGAAAGCGUGGGGAGUAAACAGGAUUAGAUACCCUUGUAGUCC
rnacentral:rRNA from 1 species